CCCCCUCAGUGCCCAGCCCAGCGUGACGCUCAGACACACCUUGUUAAAUGAGAAACCAUGCUAAGCACCAUCGCAGCCCAGCCCUUCCAGGUACUUUGCUGAUCCCAGGGCCCCAAAGUGAACUGAGCUCUGCAUGGUGUCCACGAGGGGCUGCUCCUUUACCUGUCUCAUCACUAUACUCCCCGUCGGGACACUCCACGCACUCAAAGCAGCAGUGAACUGCUAUCUAUGUGAAAGAUGUACCUGCCAAGCUUCAACCUUCUUGAUAUCUGCACAGGAACCGUUGGUGAAGAGCCCUCUCCCAGUAAAGGCAGAAGAACAGCCAUUUACUGAUGGAAUGGAGUGGAAAAUAAAUAACUGAACCCUUUGGAAUAAAAGACAAAGUUUUAUACAAGGUAUCAGGAAGACCAAGGGAAAGUGCUGGAUCCCUUCUGGAAGUUGCAAAUCUCAAGAGAAAGUGCUCUUCUCUCUCACAAGAUGGGUCAAGACUUGAGGUGCAGUAAUGGUCUCUGAUGUCCAGAUUAAGGCAGGUGAUAUACAGCCCUCUGUACUCUGCAGAAGUCAGAUACUAUUUGAAGGAAUUGUACCUAGUGUUAGACGCCAUAUUCUAAGAGUCAUGAUAAAUUAGGGAACAUCAGAGAGAGGGCAUCCAGAAUGGUGAGGGUCUGAAAAUCAUGUCAUGAAACAACUAUUUAGAAAACUAUUUGGUCUGGAAAAGAAAUGAUUCAAGGGGGCAUGUUAGCUGUCUUCAAAUGGCCGAAGACAGAGUCCAGUGAGAGAGUUAAGAUGGAUUCUGUGUUUCUCUAUCUAUGUAGAUGGAUUCUGUGUUAGCAGGGGGAUUUCAGCUUCCUAUAAGAAUUCUAAUGGGAGUGAUUCCAAAUGCUACGGGCUGCAUUUUGAAGACGCCCAGGUCAUGCCAGCCACUGAAGUUUCUUUCAGCUUUAAAAUCCUUAAAAAAAAUAAGAGUGAGGCAGCCAACACUCAGGUAUUAUGACCACUGGGGCACUUAAGGUCAUUGGGAGAUUUUACUACUCAGGUUUGCAAAACCUACAAUAAAUUUCUUUCUAGGUACUUGGUCUUCCAUUAAGUAACACAGCCUCCAGGUGAACAAUGAUGACUGAGUUACCAAGUGACCAAGCACGGCUCCAACAGGCCAUGGAUUUUUCUAUUCAGUAUCUUUGACAUUUUAUUUUUGGAAAAAUUUCUUUUAAAAAAAUGAGGGGGGGGGGAAUAAUAAGCUUCAGCAUGGUUACCAGUCACCAUUUUUGAAAAGAGAGAACCAACUUUGAAAAAAUUAUUUCAGGUUUGGUACAGCUUUUCUCCAACCACCAGGAGAAAAGACUCUCCAGGGUGGCUCCUGACCUUACCUGAUACAUUCCACAGACUCCGGCCUCGACUUUAGAUCUUGAUCUUUGGCUGCUACUCCAAAAUGAAUAGGAAAGAGCCCCCCGAGGAUAAUGUCCCCUUUCUUCUGGGCU